UACGGAGGGUGCAAGCGUUAUCCGGAUUCACUGGGUUUAAAGGGUGCGUAGGCGGGCUUAUAAGUCAGUGGUGAAAGCCCGGAGCUUAACUUCGGAACUGCCAUUGAUACUGUAAGUCUUGAGUACACUUGAGGUGGGCGGAAUACAUCAUGUAGUGGUGAAAUACUUAGAUAUGAUGUAGAACACCGAUUGCGAAGGCAGCUCACUAAAUUGUAACUGACGCUGAGGCACGAAAGCGUGGGGAUCAAAC
rnacentral:rRNA from 1 species